rnacentral:rRNA from 1 species
GACGUAGGGCGCGAGCGUUGUCCGGAUUUAUUGGGCGUAAAGAGCUCGUAGGCGGCUUGGCAAGUCGGGUGUGAAAACUUCAGGCUCAACCUGGAGCGGCCACUCGAUACUGCCAUGGCUUGAGUCCGGUAGGGGACCACGGAAUUCCUGGUGUAGCGGUGAAAUGCGCAGAUAUCAGGAGGAACACCGGUGGCGAAGGCGGUGGUCUGGGCCGGAACUGACGCUGAGGAGCGAAAGCGUGGGGAGCGAACAGG